rnacentral:rRNA from 1 species
AUUGAACGCUGGCGGCAGGCCUAACACAUGCAAGUCGAGCGAGCGGCGGACGGGUGAGUAAUGUCUGGGAAACUGCCUGAUGGAGGGGGAUACCUACUGGAAACGGUAGCUAAUACCGCAUCCCAUCAGAUGUGCCCAGAUGGGAUGAGCUAGUAGGUGGGGUAACGGCUCACCAAGGCCACGAUCCCUAGCUGGUCUGAGAGGAUGACCAGCCACACUGGAACGGAGACACGGUCCAGACUCCUACGGGAGGCAGCAGUGGGGAAUAUUGCACAAUGGGCGCAAGCCUGAUGCAGCCAUGCCGCGUGUGUGAAGAAGGCCUUCGGGUUGGAAAGUACUUUCAGCGGGGAGGCGUUACCCGCAGAAGAAGCACCGGCUAACUCCGUGCCAGCAGCCGCGGUAAUUC